rnacentral:rRNA from 1 species
UACAGAGGGUGCAAGCGUUAAUCGGAAUUACUGGGCGUAAAGCGUGCGUAGACGGUUACAUAAGUCGGGUGUGAAAGCCCCGGGCUCAACCUGGGAAUUGCAUUCGAGACUGCGUAGCUAGGGUGCGGAAGAGGGAAGCGGAAUUUCCGGUGUAGCGGUGAAAUGCGCAGAUAUCGGGAAGAACACCCGUGGCGAAGGCGGUUCUCUGGGACGGUACUGACGCUGAGACGCGAAAGCGUGGGGAGCGAACAGG